rnacentral:tRNA from 1 species
GCCUGGGUGGCUCAGUCGGUUGAGCGUCCGACUUCGGCUCGGGUCACGACCUUGCCAUCUGUGAGUUCGAGCCCCGCGUCGGGCU